CUUGGUCAUUUAGAGGAAGUAAAAGUCGUAACAAGGUUUCCGUAGGUGAACCUGCGGAAGGAUCAUUAAUGAUUGCGAAUGGUUGCCUUCGGUGCUGGCUCUUGCAAGUGCACGUUGGUGACUUUCAUCCAACACCCCUGUGAACCUUUGGCCUCUUGCUAGCUUCGGCGUGCAGAGGAUUUUUACACACUCGAAUGUAAUGAAAACUAUUGUCGUGCGCAAGCACUAAUGUACAACUUUCAACAACGGAUCUCUUGGCUCUCGCAUCGAUGAAGAACGCAGCGAAAUGCGAUAAGUAAUGUGAAUUGCAGAAUUCAGUGAAUCAUCGAAUCUUUGAACGCACCUUGCACCCUUUGGUAUUCCGAAGGGUAUGCUCGUUUGAGUGUCAUUGUACUCUCACACUCUCUGAUCCUUUGGAUUCAGGGAGUGGUGGACUUGGGUGUUUGCUGCUUUCCCGGUGGCUCACCUCAAAUGCGUUAGUGCACCUCUUGGUUGGACAUAGUACGGCGUGAUAAGUAUCUUCGCCGGCACCUCGCAAGAGGGUGGCCGAUUGGGAGCUCUGUGCUUUCAAACCGUCUUCGGACAAUCUUGACAACUUGACCUCAAAUCGAGUAGGACUACCCGCUGAACUUAAGCAUAUCAAUAAGCGGAGGA
rnacentral:rRNA from 1 species